UACGUAGGGGGCAAGCGUUAUCCGGAUUUACUGGGUGUAAAGGGAGCGUAGACGGCAGUGCAAGUCUGGAGUGAAAGGCGGGGGCUCAACCCCCGGACUGCUCUGGAAACUGUACGGCUGGAGUGCAGGAGAGGUAAGUGGAAUUCCUAGUGUAGCGGUGAAAUGCGUAGAUGUUAGGAGGAACACCAGUGGCGAAGGCGGCUUACUGGACUGUAACUGACGUUGAGGCUCGAAAGCGUGGGGAGCAAACAGG
rnacentral:rRNA from 1 species